rnacentral:rRNA from 1 species
CCGCCCGUCACACCAUGGGAGUUGAUUGCACCAGAAGCAGGUAGUCUGACCGCAAGGAGGGCGCCUACCACGGUGUGGUCAAUGACUGGGGUG